rnacentral:misc_RNA from 1 species
UACAGAGGCCCCAAGCAUUAUCCGGAAUCAUUGGGUGUAAAGGGUGUCUAGGCGGUCAUAUUAGUCGUUUGUAAAAUCCGGGGGCUCAACCUCCGGCCCGCGAGCGAAACGGUAUGACUAGAGGUUGAAAGAGGUGCGUGGAACUCACGGUGUAGGGGUGAAAUCCGUUGAUAUCGUGGGGAACACCAAAGGCGAAGGCAGCGCACUGGUUCAAAUCUGACGCUCAAGCACGAAAGCCAGGGUAGCGAAUGGG